rnacentral:rRNA from 1 species
GACGAACGCUGGCGGCGUGCUUAACACAUGCAAGUCGAGCGGUAAGGCCCUUUCGGGGGUACACGAGCGGCGAACGGGUGAGUAACACGUGGGUGACCUGCCCUUAGCUCUGGGAUAAGCCUGGGAAACUGGGUCUAAUACCGGAUAUGACUCCAUGACGCAUGUUGUGGGGUGGAAAGCCUUGUGCGGCUAGGGAUGGGCCCGCGGCCUAUCAGCUUGUUGGUGGGGUGAUGGCCUACCAAGGCGACGACGGGUAGCCGGCCUGAGAGGGCGACCGGCCACACUGGGACUGAGACACGGCCCAGACUCCUACGGGAGGCAGCAGUGGGGAAUCUUGCGCAAUGGUCGAAGCCUGACGCAGCGACGCCGCGUGAGGGAGUGACGG